rnacentral:rRNA from 1 species
AACGAACGCUGGCGGCAGGCCUAACACAUGCAAGUCGAGCGAAGCCUUCGGGCUUAGCGGCGGACGGGUGAGUAACGCGUGGGAACGUGCCCUUUGGUACGGAAUAGCCCCGGGAAACUGGGAGUAAUACCGUAUGUGGUCGAGAGACGAAAGAUUUAUCGCCAAAGGAUCGGCCCGCGUUGGAUUAGGUAGUUGGUGGGGUAAUGGCCUACCAAGCCGACGAUCCAUAGCUGGUUUGAGAGGAUGAUCAGCCACACUGGGACUGAGACACGGCCCAGACUCCUACGGGGAGCAGCAGUGGGGAAUCUUAGACAAUGGGGUAAACCCUGAUCUAGCCAUGCCGCGUGAUCGAUGAAGGCCUUAGGGUUGUAAAGAUCUUUCAGUGGGGAAGAUAAUGACUGUACCCACAGAAGAAGCCCCGGCUAACUCCGUGCCAGCCGCCGCCGUAAAAC